rnacentral:lncRNA from 1 species
CCAGGGUCUCUUAAACAUGCCUGCCUCUGAAUAAACACAGUGGGCAUGAUGUGUUACAGGCUGCAUUACUGAGAAUCAUCCGGCUGUAGAGGAGAAGAGGACUGUAUUUAUAUUUUUGUAGAUGCUGGGGAGUCACCUGUCUUCAAAGGAUGCUGGACAGGCUGGAAGACAUCAGGAAGCACACUCACGUCAUGCCUUUCGGAGGCAAUAAUCAGUUGAAUACCAUCGAACAGUCACGUUGCAGCAAUCGGUGUACAGAGGAUGCAUGUGCUGGUGCCUGAGGCUGGGAAUGCAUAGCUACAGGUCUGCUCCCAUGGAAUAGAGACAGUCAUGUUCUUAAUAUAAAACAUGAUGGAAUCCAGCUUGUUUGAGCUUUUUACUGUUGCUUUCCCAGCAGGUUUCUGUGCCCACUCCCUCUGCUAAACCACCUGUUCCAUCAGAUUCAUAUUUUGCAGGGAAACCUCUUCAAAAAGACUAAGCACCUGGCCAAAGCUUGUGGGCAACUUAUCUGGCAGCUUUGGGGAGACCCAGCAGUGUUCCUCCUGCAUGUGAGUUUACUUUAGCACAUGACUUUGUUUAAAUGAUGAUUCAGUAUUAUAAAAUACAAAUAUGCAUUUUCUUCUUUUCAGGGUAGAGAAGUUUUGAAGAGGUGUAGAGUCUCAGGGAAUUUGCCUAAGCCUCUGCCUACUGCUUUGUGCUUAAUUCAGUCUGUGUAUAAGAAUCCUGUAAACUUCGUUGCUGGGAUUAGGAUGGCGUCAGUCCCUGGGCCUGGCCCCCGUGGAGUAAAGGCAGCUAGAGAUGCUGGGGACGUGCGGUGGAAAGGGCCAGCACCAUCUCUGUCUGGAUCCAAGUCCUGUCUGUGCAGAAGGAGGCGGACAAGGCACAGCCAUGAACUUGAGCUCUGAUCCUCUGGGAAGCCUGGGCCUGUUUCAAGACCAGGGUCCUGGUGCUCCGCUGAGCCUGGCCAACAUAAAGCGUAACCUGAACGGUGGGGCUGGGCAGGAACCGCUUCUAAUGUCAGUGUCUGAAUGAAACAGCAUCCCAGGAGCCAAAACAACUCCAUUGACCCUGGUUUCCACCUCCUUGCCCAAACGCCUGACUUCACUUCUAGAGAUUUCCAAAAACACCGCAGCUGUUUUG